AGAGUUUGAUCCUGGCUCAGGAUGAACGCUAGCGGCAGGCCUAACACAUGCAAGUCGAGGGGCAGCACAAAUGAAGCUUGCUUUAUUGGUGGCGACCGGCGCACGGGUGAGUAACGCGUAUGCAACCUGCCCUGUACUGGGGGAUAACCCGGAGAAAUUCGGACUAACACCCCAUAAUGUAAUUAGAUGGCAUCAUUUAGUUAUUAAAGGUUACGGUACGGGAUGGGCAUGCGUUCCAUUAGCUAGUUGGUAUGGUAACGGCAUACCAAGGCGACGAUGGAUAGGGGGCCUGAGAGGGUGAUCCCCCACACUGGUACUGAGACACGGACCAGACUCCUACGGGAGGCAGCAGUGAGGAAUAUUGGUCAAUGGGCGCAAGCCUGAACCAGCCAUGCCGCGUGCAGGAAGACGGUCCUAUGGAUUGUAAACUGCUUUUAUUUAGGAAUAAACCCCCAUACGUGUAUGGGGCUGAAUGUACUAAAAGAAUAAGCACCGGCUAACUCCGUGCCAGCAGCCGCGGUAAUACGGAGGGUGCAAGCGUUAUCCGGAAUCAUUGGGUUUAAAGGGUCCGCAGGCGGGGAAAUAAGUCAGAGGUGAAAUCCGGCAGCUCAACUGUCGCACUGCCUUUGAUACUGUUUUUCUUGAAUUUUAGUGGAGUGGGCGGAAUAUGUCAUGUAGCGGUGAAAUGCUUAGAUAUGACGUGGAACACCGAUCGCGAAGGCAGCUCACUAACUAUGAAUUGACGCUCAUGGACGAAAGCGUGGGUAGCAAAGAGGAUUAGAUACCCUGGUAGUCCACGCCGUAAACGAUGAUUACUCGUUGUUGGGUUUUCGGACUCAGUGACUAAGCGAAAGUGAUAAGUAAUCCACCUGGGGAGUACGAUCGCAAGGUU
rnacentral:rRNA from 1 species